rnacentral:lncRNA from 1 species
GUUAAGGAAUCUGACUAGGAACCAUGAGGUUCCGGGUUCGAUCCCUGGGCUCGCUCAGUGGGUUAAGGAUCUGGCAUUGCCGUGAGCUGUGGUGUAGGUCGCAGACGCGGCUCGGAUCCCACGUUGCUGUGGCUGUGGCGUAGGCCGGUGGCUACAGCUCUGAUUCGACCCCUAGCCUGGGACUCUCCAUAUGCCGCGAGAGUGGCCCAAGAAAAUGGCAAAAAGACAAAAAAAAAAAAAAAAAAAAAAAAAAAAAAUCCGGGAUCUGCCUGGAAUCCGGACUUCGCAGCCUCAUGCCUGCAGAUGAAUUAAGCCCUGGAGGCCCCUCCCCUCCUUAGAGCCUUAAGUAAUUGCUGCACCCCGACCUCGCAGGGGUCCAGACAAGAAGCACAGGCGGCAAGGUGUCAGAGGUCAUGGUUAGGGGUAUGAUCCGCGGGCAGUGACAUUUGACUUUGAACAUUUAAAUUUCAAAGUCAAAGCAACAAGCAAUGAAAAGUCGUGUAUUUUGCCUUUUGAAAGAAAAUGUAAAAAGCCCACACCCAGCAAUCCAGUGAGGCGUCAUCUGACUCCACGCGGGCCAGAUGGUCUUUUUCGACACCUAUAGUUUCCCGGGAAAUUGUGGCAGCUGAAUUUGCAUGAUGUAGCUACAAAUGGAAUCUGCAAAAUGUGUGUGUUCAUGUGGUUUGGACGUGAGAAUAAUUCCUGUACCCGGUCAUGUCGGGAAGAGUCGAAAUAUUCACUUCCCGUCCCCCAGGGACCAGGCCAGCUCUCGGACCCUAGC